ACUAUUUUGGCAGAAGGAGUGCCUUGAAUUUAGAAUUCAAAUAUGUAAAUGAGUUACAGAUAGUA
rnacentral:tRNA from 1 species